AUUGGUUCUCGGACUUAUGUAUUUAUGCAUUAUGGUUUUCUACCCCUUGAGGCAGUUGAUUUUCAAAACGGAGUUUCCGAGUGGGAAACAGUUUUAAAAAGGUUUUCGAAUGAUUUUUAUGGAUAAUUAAUUAGAGUUUAAAAAUCAAAGCUUCCGGGUGGGAGUACUUUUAAAUAGGAUGCUUGUUGUACUAUGCAUUGCAUCAUCCAGCACCUAAGGAGUGUUUAGAGGCAUGCAUCAUCUCUGAGGAACGCUAGCUGUAUGUAAACGUAUCGCAUUUAGGGCAUGUUUGUUUCGACGUAAGUAGACUUGGGGUGGAAGUGGACUUGGAGUUGAAGUGGAGUUGGGGUGAAAAUUAGUUCACUUCUGCUGUUUGUUUCUAACUGUGGAAGUGCAGUUCUGUGAGUUCUGUUGUUUGUUUGGUAGGAAGUAGAUGACGUAAAAAGUGUAUAUCUCCACCCCUGGUAUAGUUACCUCCGAAGUGAAAUUAUUGUCUAUUUGUAACUUAUAGUUAAUAAUAAAUUAUAAUAAAUAAAAAUUAAUAUAAUUAUAUAUGUAUAUAAUUAUAUAUAUAUGUAUAAUUAUAAAAUAAAAUUUUAAAAAAUUAUAUUUAAUAAUCAGAGCAACACAAAUUAUAUAUGUAUAAAAUUAUAUAUAUAUGUAUCAUCAAAAAUAAAGGGCAAAAAAUUAGAAAAUGCAGUAAAUAAAAAAACAUGAUUAGGUACAACACAAAUGUUAAAUCUUUAAUAAUCAGAGCAAAAAAAUAAAAAUAGCAGUAAAUUAAAAAAAAUUGAAACUGCAGUAAAUAAAAAUGUUAAAAAUUANUAAAAAAACAUGAUUAGGUACAACACAAAUGUUAAAUCUUUAAUAAUCAGAGCAAAAAAAUAAAAUUAGCAGUAAAUUAAAAAAAAUUGAAACUGCAGUAAAUAAAAAUGUUAAAAAUUACAGUAAAGAAAAAAAUAAAUAAAAACUACAAUAAAUCAGAGACGAAAAAAUUUAUUUGCAAACCUUGUCAACUACGAUAGGGAAGGAGAUGGAAACGGAAUGCGAGAUCUGAGAUCGAAAAAGAUGAAUGGUUAGAGACAGAAGGAAGGAUUGAAGAAACAAAAUAUGAAAAAAAAAAAAAGAUAAAUAAUAUAAACCUAAUAGUCACCAAAGAUGAAGAAGCGGGCUUAAGAAGAUCAGGGGCGAAGGAGAUGGAGUAGGUGGGCUCAACAAUGCUCUGGGGGUGAAAGAAAAAUGAGGGAGAAAUUUUUUUUUUUUUUCUGUGGGGUCUGCUAAGAAAAAAAAAAUGGCGAGAGUUGGUGGGAGGAGAGGAAAGGGUAAAGAAUGGAGAGAGUAGGGUCGGGAGGAGAGAGAAGGGUAGAGUAUGGGUAGAGUUGGGUCGGUAACCCUAACACAUUACCCACUCUUGCUUUAUUUUCGACUUCACCGAAAUUGACUUCGCCCCCGUGGGAGGGCGAAGUCAAUUUCACCUUUUUGGGUGAACUGGACUUUCGGGCGUAAUAAAAUUACGGUGAACCAAACAACGGAAGUGAUUAGUUUUCACUGAAAAUUACUUUCCCCUUCCCACUUCCACCCCACUUUCGUACAAACAAACAGACCCUUAUUGGUUGCUGAUUGGUGAAUGUAGGUUGUGGUUGAGAUCCUGAUGUAUUGUUGGUACGCCGUGCAAAUACAAAGAAGACUCUGUCCGAGUGGAUAGAGGAACUUUGUAUUUGUGGCGGGUC
rnacentral:lncRNA from 1 species